rnacentral:rRNA from 1 species
AGAGUUUGAUCAUGGCUCAGGAUGAACGCUGGCGGCGUGCCUAAUACAUGCAAGUCGAACGAAGAUGUUCUUGAGUUUACUCGAGAGCUCUUAGUGGCGAACGGGUGAGUAACGCGUUGGUGACCUGCCCUAAAGAAGGGAACAACCUCGGGAAACUGAGGCUAAUACCCUAUGUGCUUCUUAAGAUUAGAUGCUUUUGAAGUAAAGGUUCUGUGGACGAAAGGCUACAGUGCCACUUUAGGAGGGGCCUGCGUACCAUCAGCUAGUUGGUAGGGUAAUGGCCUACCAAGGCGAUGACGGUUAGGGGACCUGAGAGGGUGACCCCCCACACUAGCACUGAAACACGGGCUAGACACCUACGGGUGGCAGCAGUAGGGAAUCUUGCACAAUCGACGAAAGUCUGAUGCAGCAACGCCGCGUGUGCGAUGAAGGCCUUCGGGUUGUAAAGCACUUUUCUGAGGGAAGAGAAAGGACGGUACCUCAGGAAUAAGUCUCGGCUAACUACGUGCCAGCAGCCGCGGUAAUACGUAGGAGGCGAGCGUUAUCCGGAUUUAUUGGGCGUAAAGCGCGUGCAGGUGGUUUGGUAAGUUGGGUAUGAAAUCUUCUGGCUUAACUAGGAGAGGCUGCUCAAAACUGCCAGACUAGAGGACGAUAGAGGAAGGUGGAAUUCCCGGUGUAGUAGUGAAAUGCGUAGAUAUCGGGAGGAACACCAGUGGCGAAGGCGGCCUUCUGGGUCGUUCCUGACACUAAGACGCGAAAGUAUGGGUAGCAAACGGGAUUAGAAACCCCGGUAGUCCAUACCGUAAACGAUGUGAACUUGAUGUCGGUGGUGUAAUAAUCAUCGGUGUCGUAGCUAACGCGAUAAGUUCACCGCCUGGGGGAGUACGAUCGCAAGGUUAAAACUCA